AGUUUGGCCAUGCCUGUGGCUUCUGGGAUCCCAGUUCUCCAACCAAGGAUGGAACCUGGACCCCCAUACUGAAAGUGCUGAGGCCUAACCACUGAACCACCAGGGAAUUCUCUCAUGCAGGCGGAUUCUUGACAAUCUGAGCCACCAGCGAAACCCACAGCUGAGGAGGAGGGGCAGGGAAACGAGGUCCUUGGCGGAGGGAGCUUUUGGUAGGAAGCCCGGGAUCGGUUUGGUUCCUAGAAGCACGGAAGGACGCGGGCGCUGGAGUUGGAGUGAACCCCUCCGGCGGCCCGGCCAGCCCUCCGCAUCCACACGCCCCCUCCCUUCCCCGCUGUGGGCCAUCCGCCUUCCGCCUGGCAGGGAAGCUCCAGACACCCGACCCUACGAAGCCCCUCACGGCAGUCCGGGCGUUUCUAGUGAGUCAGUCUUGCGAUCUUGUCUUUAGGAAAACUCUCCGCCAACAGCUGGUCGCAAGGGUCCCUCUCGCCGCCCACCCAGUCUCUCCUCUCCCCCAGCACCAAGGACGAGCUCCCCUGCCGCAGCCCCGAGGCCGUCCCCAGGGCGCUGCGGUCCCGCCGGAGCCACGCCUUCCUGGCGACAGAGGGCGGGGCAUGCAGAUUCGAGACGGAGCUUCUGUCCGAGAACGACAAAGCUACAGCAGAUACGGAAUUUCUCUUUUACAAUGUGGAGGAUGAAGCCUGCUCAGAGUGUGGUGGGGUGCCGCCAUAGCACUGUCAACGAGGCAAAGGCAGGGCGCCCUGGAGUGAGCGGGGACCCGGGUCACACUGAGUGCAACAUGCUCGACAGCAGGACGGUGACAGCGACGGGCGGUGACUCGGUAUCGCUUCUCGGCCUUUUGGCUAAGAUCAAGUGUAGUAUCUGUUCUUAUCAGUUUAAUAUCUGAUACGUCCUCUAUCCGAGGACAAUAUAUUAAAUGGAUUUUUGGAGCAGGGAGUUGGAAUAGGAGCUUGCUCCGUCCACUCCACGCAUCGACCUGGUAUUGCAGUACCUCCAGGAACGGUGCA